GAGUUUGAUCUUGGCUCAGAACGAACGCUGGCGGCAGGCUUAACACAUGCAAGUCGAACGCCCCGCAAGGGGAGUGGCAGACGGGUGAGUAACGCGUGGGAAUCUACCUAGUUCUACGGAACAACAGUUGGAAACGACUGCUAAUACCGUAUACGCCCUACGGGGAAAGAUUUAUCGGAAUUAGAUGAGCCCGCGUAAGAUUAGCUAGUUGGUGAGGUAAUGGCUCACCAAAGGCGACGAUCUUUAGCUGGUCUGAGAGGAUGAUCAGCCACACUGGGACUGAGACACGGCCCAGACUCCUACGGGAGGCAGCAGUGGGGAAUAUUGGACAAUGGGCGCAAGCCUGAUCCAGCCAUGCCGCGUGAGUGAUGAAGGCCGUUAGGGUUGUAAAGCGUCUUUCACCGAUGAAGAUAAUGACGGUAGUACGGAGAAGAAGCCCCGGCUAACUUCGUGCCAGCAGCCGCCGUAAC
rnacentral:rRNA from 2 species